CUACGGGGCGCUCCAGUGAGGAAUAUUGCACAAUGGGGGGAACCCUGAUGCAGCAACGCCGCGUGGAGGAUGACGCAUUUCGGUGUGUAAACUCCUUUUAUAUGUCAAGAAAAUGACGGUAGCAUAUGAAUAAGCACCGGCUAACUCCGUGCCAGCAGCCGCGGUAAUACGGAGGGUGCAAGCGUUACUCGGAAUCACUGGGCGUAAAGGACGCGUAGGCGGGUUGGAAAGUCAGGUGUGAAAUCCUACAGCUUAACUGUAGAACUGCACUUGAAACUUCUAAUCUAGAGUAUGGGAGGGGGAGAUGGAAUUAGUGGUGUAGGGGUAAAAUCCGUAGAUAUCACUAGGAAUACCUAAAGCGAAGGCGAUCUCCUGGAACAGUAAUGACGCUAAGGCGUGAAAGCGUGGGGAGCAAACAGGAUUAGAUACCCCGGUAGUC
rnacentral:rRNA from 1 species